UGAUUUUCGUUUAACCAAAAUAUCGAAGAAGGCAACACAAUUCUAUGAUCGCGUAGUCGAAAAAAUGCAUCAUAAACGGAGCGAGUUCCUCACAGCUAUUAGGCGUUGGGAGAAAUAGGUAAAAGAAGUGUGCACUCUGUCAGUCCGAUAGUCAUGAAAAGUCUGAAGAAGUCACCGGUAUAUGCAGUCAUUGCAUAAGCAGUUUGCUCAAUAUUGGCUUUGAGCAUAACAAUUUGGCCUCCAGGUUUCUUGCUGAAUUCCUGCUGGGACUUGGAGUGUACAGAGUCAGUUACACUUCUCUGACCAAUAUUCACAGCUGCUCGCAGGUCACAGGUUUUCUUCCAAAGCCUGGAGUUAUUCAAAAGCAACAGUGGCU